UCAUUUUCACUGUCAUUAGGAAGAUUUACAGUAACAGAAGUUAACACAAGUUGCAGUCUGAUAGAACAUAUUUUUGAUGUCUGCAAUAUAGCCAUCAUGCAUUAUUACUAUGCAAGUAGAGGGAGACAAAUCAGAAAAUAAAUCUAGAGGAUCAACAAUCAAGAAAACAUUAAUAAAUUUUCAAUGUGGAUAGAGGGGAUAAACACAGGAAAAAUUCUGAACAAGUUUGGGAAACAAGCAACCAAUACGCAUCCUCUAACCCAAAAUUUUUCCAGUUCUACAUCUAUGGGCUUCUCAAUAAGUUUGUCUCCGACUCUUCAAAGCAGAGUUAUACAUGAACUUCACAUAAUUGCCCUGGAUUUGAGGGGCUCAAAAAAGAAAGAAGUAUAUUUGGCUAAGUAGAUAGAAUUUAUAAAUUUUUUUAAUUAAAGCACAAAACAACCAUGGAAAAAGCUAGAAAACGGGAGAAAGAGAAAUAAAAGGUCUGAGGGAUUGCACACAGAAUUCUAGAUACUUCUUAUCACUCGGUUCAAUGAGAUCAAAGACAACAUGAGAAAACAAGAGCUGAACAUUGUGUUUUAUUGGCUUCCAUAUGAACCGCACUAAAAUCAAAUAGCACCAUGUAUCCAUUGCAAUAUUUUUUUUACUGGCUGCAUCUUUUUUCUUCGUUUUCAACAAAUACAUGAUGUCAGCACGUUAGUUAAUGAAUAACACAUUUUACAGAACAAUAAAUGGGAAAUACAGCUGACAGUAACCAAAAUAAUUCUACCUGCCUUUUUUGUUUUUGCUUUUAGCAAAGAAAAAUAUAGCACUA
rnacentral:misc_RNA from 1 species